CAGAACAAAGAAAGUCAAAUCUGGGAUGGCAUUAGGGUCCAUCAAUGGCUGUGCCUCAUUUGAAAGGCUUCGUCAUCCGAAGGUCGGAAUUCUCGGCCACAUACGUCAUUGAGGAUGUCUCUUUUCAUAAAAAUGGAAAAGAAAACAUUUGCAGUGGUGGAAUUUGCAGAUGACAGUUCGGUGGAAAUCAUCCCAACCACAUGGCUGGAGGAGACCA